UAUCAUAACCGGCCCACUUGUAGGUUUAUGGCAUCAUAUUUAGAAUGGUACGUAAUAUUCUAAAUACCCCUCAACCUCAAGAAUACAAACCCUACUUCCUACUUGUUGUGCGACGGCAGACGACCUCUCCCAUCAUCGAAGACAUUUUCUGGUUCGGGCCAACUGUGGGUCGUUAGAUGUCUUGGAUUGGAACUUGCUGUCUGGAGUAGCUGAAGUGGUCAUGGGUCGAACUGGAGGGAUACAUGUGUUGGAAUUGUUGAUAUGACAUGUGAUUUUGAAACAGUUAAACUAUGAUUUCCUUUAUUGCUUCCGCUGAACAUGUUGGUUUUCAUUUAAACUUAUUGAUGGUACUUUUCAUUAAUAAUUGGCAAUUUCAUUUUUAAACUUGUUAUGAGUUCAACAUGAUUAGUGGCUCGUUAUUGGUUUGUCACACGCCUAGUAGGGUUUUCCAUGGGUGGUAUUUUGGGGGUGUGACAAAUAUCAUGACUUCCGUUGAUACUAGGGUCAGGUAUGAAGUGAUGGGUAUGUUUACAGUGUAUAGUAUGAUUUUCGUUUAUAGGGACAUAAAUUUUAAUGGCUUCAAUGAUCGAAGGUAUAGAAUUUGAUAUUCCUUGAGCUGUUAUAUUUUCCAUAGUAUUUUUAUCCAGAGAGUUUUCAUUACUAGCCUGAAUUUCUUGAUUACAUGCUAUUUCCCUUGACAUCUGAAUUACAAACAUGUUCAGAUAUAAUUAUCACAGAACUAAGCAAUUAUACAGGCACAUUUUGUUGCUCACACCAUGUUUAGCACAAUUAUAGUCAUAGCUAUCAGGAUUAUGCGUUGAUAAAUAUAUAUAUUAAGAUAUACAUAUGUACAUGUUAUAUUUUAACAUUUUCUUUUACUAUAUAUCUUAUCAAAAUAUAAGGAAAAUGUAUAUACUAUAUAUGUUGUUUCUUCCCUUGGUAUAACAUCUUUUCUCUAUAUUGCCUUAACUUAACUAUGUUUCGAGUGCGCAUGGCUGGAUAGGUAUUUAGAAAAUAAGGUAAGGGUUUUAUAUAAAAUUUUGAGAUUAUUUGUCAUUGACCCACUAUUUUUUUUCAAGAGGUGGUGCUAGUAUAGGUAUUCUUAAGGUAUCUUUUGAAUUAAAGCUGGGUGUCAAAAUAGAUCUUGAGUAAACAUGUAGAUUUGUUUCUUUUGUUAUAUAAAAGCUUGUCCUUCUACAGAAGACAUUUGAUUAUAAUGUAUAUUUUCAAGAAGAUGAUGUCUUGCAUAUAUAUAUCUAUACUUCUAUACUACUUUAUAAAGCAUAUCCAAAGGACUUCUUAAAGUCAUAAAAAUUCCCUUAAAACACCCCUAAAGCAUGCUAUACAACCCUCUAAAGUACAAUAUAAUUUACAAUUCCAAUUAUGCCCUUCACCCAAAAAAACACACGCGGUACAACAUGAGAUGCAUAAUGUACUACUCAUUAAAAAAAAACACGGUAUCACUCUCAUUAGGGUUUCAGAUUUCGCAUCUCAUUCCUAUCCGCCUCCCUCUCUCUCUCUCUCUCUCGGCGAUUCAGAAACCCCAAGCUCUCUCUCGGCGAUUCGAUUCAGAAAGCCCAAGCUCUCUAUCUCUCUCUCGGCGAUUCAGAAACCCCAAGCAUUCCUACCACUCGACAAUUGUCAGACAUGCGCUGGGUUCAUCAACGAUGGUGGCUGUGGGUGGAAGAUGAUGACGUUGGUUGGUGGCCAGAUUGGAAUGAUCCUGUGGAUGAGGAUGCAGCCAGCGCAGCCGCAACAACUUUAUUUGCCAUACCAACUGUUAUAAUCUCCGAGAUUCUGAAGGAGAUGGACUGGUAACUCAAAAAUGUUGAUGGUAUGGAUGCUUUUGCUGUCAAACAAGCUUGCAAAACAGCAAAGGGACAUGCCUUGAAGAACAGAUCCAUUGUAAGCAGUCAUAGCUUUUGUAUGGUUUUCAUGUCAUAUUAUUAAAUUCGUUAUGAUAGAAAAUGCAUCACAUUCUUUAUGGUUACAACUUACAUCUUUUGUGUGAAUUAGGUCACUAUGGUCCAGCAUGUAUUGGAUUACUAGAGCUUAUGUGUUACUGGAGAAAUUUGAUUACAUCAAAUUUUCACUAUGAAAAUGGUUAAUAAGUAGCCAAAAGAUAGGCUGUGCAAUCUUGUGCAUGAAGUGCUUUGAUGAUUCUCAUCAUCAUCAUUAUUUAAGAUAAUCAAAAGAAAUAGAGUGUCAAUGAAAUGAAACAUGCUUUUAUGCACUUGGAUGAAAAUGAAAGUAUGAAAAGAUUCAUGCAUGAUAUUCUUACUUUUGCUACUGAAGUCACUUUUUCUUUACCUAUUUUGCAUAUAUUCGAGUUACAGUAAAGUUUUCUUUACCUAUUUUGCAUAUAUUCGAGUUACAGUAAAGUUUUCUUUACCUAUUACUGAAGUCACUUUUUCUUUACCUAUUUUGCACAUUUUAUAUUUGUGGUUCUCACAUGCUUGGCUUACUACCAGAUGAUGAUCUUCAGCUGCCGAUCAAACUCGGGGCAUUGUCAAGAAAAUUAGGUAUUAUUGUUGCACUACUAGCAGUAGCAUCGAUCUGUGAAUCUGUGGCGAUAUUUGACCCGAUAUAUGAAUCUCGCCAUUCUGCUGCAUUACAGAUGUUUUCUCGAUCGUUUUCGAGGUUCAUUUUACUCCCAGAUCAAGUUCCCCCCUUUUGGUUUGAUGUGUAAGGUUUCGAAAAGUAAAUUUGGUAUCAUGGAGGGAGAAAUAAAGUUUCAAGAAAAACAAAUCGGGGCUUUCUUAAAUUCCUCGAGCUUACUAGAAUUAGCAGUUACAGAUGAUGUUUUUGGGCUCCAGUACAAGGUAGAAACAAACGGUACGAGGUUAGACGAUGUCGGUUUGUGGUACGGAAGAAAAAACAGGUGUAAAACGAAGAUGGGGUUGGAAAAACGAACUCCGUUAAUGAUUGCGGCUGUGUACGGAAGCACAAAUGUCGUGAAAUAUAUAAUCGGUUCCGGAAAAGCCGAUGUGAACAAAGUAUCUGACUCUGAUGGUGCAACUGCGCUUCACUGUGUUGCGGCUGGCAGGUCUUCUUCGUCCGUCAAAACGGUGAAGUUGUUACUUGAGGCUUGUGCGGACCCGAAUUUAACAUACGCCAACAGGAACAAACCGGUGGAUUUGAUUGCUCGAGGCGUGUUCUGUUCCAUCGCCAAAAACGGGUUCUGUUGGGCCAAUUGAAAUGGGUUUGAUGAGUCCGUUAGGUGUCGGUUCAACUCCGCCGAUGUCACCUAACGGGAAUAUGUGGCAGAAUAAAUUUGUUAAUAUAACGCCACCCGCAUUACAGCUUCCGGGUAGCCGUUUGAAGACGUCUUUAAGAUCUAGAGAUUUAGAGAUGGAACUUGAGUUGCUACAAAGGCAGCAAAUGAUUGAUAAUUUAUCCACUAAUCUUUACAACAGAUUUGGGGAAAUAAAGCCCACUAAGCUGGAUGAUGUUUACGGUUCGAACCUUCUCAACAACAAAUUCGGCAGAACUCUAACCCGCUUAGAUCAAGUUUCGGGUUUGAUUCAUCGGCUGCAGUGGCACAAGCGGUGAUGAACUCGAGGUCUGGUUUGUUCGCCCCCAAAACAACGUAGCCAGAGUUUCAUUGACCGUGGCGUCGGCAACCUGAGUCUCCGGUCAAUGACUCAAUCUUCCACUUAUUCGGAAUAGGGUUCGCCUGAUGGGAAACUAGAUUGGGGUUUCACAGUGAGGAUGCUAACAAGAAGACGUCAAAAUUUAUUUCUUUGAAUAAUUCAAUGUAAUUUGAUGAUCAAUUAAAUCUGAUAUCAUAGUUUUUUUUUAAUUUUUGUUACAAAGAAGAUAAUAUAUCAUUGGUAGAUAACAGACA